UACGUAGGGUGCAAGCGUUGUCCGGAAUUAUUGGGCGUAAAGAGCUCGUAGGCGGUCUGUCGCGUCUGCUGUGAAAACUCAGGGCUUAACCCUGAGCUUGCAGUGGGUACGGGCAGACUAGAGUGCGGUAGGGGAGACUGGAAUUCCUGGUGUAGCGGUGAAAUGCGCAGAUAUCAGGAGGAACACCGGUGGCGGAAAGGCGGGGUCUCUAGUACGGUAACUGACG
rnacentral:rRNA from 1 species